UAUAGUUUACAAACCAUAGCUCUUUGUCUUGAUUGUUGAUUGUUGAUCUCGAGUUCAGGUACUACUGUAUGUUAUUUGACAUUUAUCUGUGAUAUUAAUGAAUCGAUUUCGUAUGUCAGUGUUUAAUUUGAUUGAUUAGUAUGCUUUGUGACUAGUUUUCUUCAUUUUAGCUUCAUCUAUUGACUGUGAGAUUAGGCUUUGUUUAUUUGGAUUUAGUUAUUUUAGUUUUCAGCUAUCUAUUGUCUGUUUCUCUAUUUUAUUUAUUUAUUUAUUUAUUUUUUUUGAGGAAAUGGAGGAGCAAUAACAAACAAUGGAAUAAUAAUAAUAAUAAUAAUAAUAAUAAUAAUAAACAAAGCCGUGCUAAGUUGAGUUGAGUUGAGUUUAGUUGAGUUAGAGCUCUUUAUUUUCUCUACUUCAAUCAAAAGAAUUUAUUUUCGUUGAACUUUGCAAUGAUUUCGAUUGUUUGGUUUGUUUUUGUCUGUUGCUGUGAUCUGUAUUGUUGCUGUGAUCUAUUUUUGUCUGUUGCUUUGAUCUGUUUGUUGCUGUGAUCUGUAUUGUUACUGUGUUGCAGGGGUGCUGUGUAGUAGAGUAUUACAUUGAAUUAAGGUGAGACUUGCAAUGUGGAUCAAAUUUAUCCUGCUUUGUGAUAUGCUCUGCUGCUGGUAUGCUCUAUUGCUGGUCUUGUCUUUGUGGUUUGCUCUGCUGCUCAACUGUGGUCUGCUGGUUUGCUUUGCUGAACUGAUAUGGUUUGCUAAUCUGUGUUGGUUUGCUAUGCUCAGCUGUGAACUGUUUUGUUGAGGUGUUUUUGUUCUGUAUAUUUGGUUGGUUGCUCACCAACUUUGGUGGUGCUAGCAAACGAUAGGAUGAUCUUUUAGGUGCCAACCUAGUUGGAAUGAUUUAGCUUAUCGUGAUGCUUUUGCACCUGCCUCUCUUUAUUGAUGUAUCUUGUCCGUACCUUGUACUUUGCUCCUACAUCAAUAAAGUUUUUUCUUUUUGCCGAUCAAAAAAAAAGAAAAAAAGAAAAAAAAAGAAACACACACACACACACACCCCCCCAGUGGGCCCAGAACUUGAUUGUCAGCUGAUACCGGUAGUGUGGCUUCUCAUAUUGUUGUUCCUCAACCCUCAUGAUCUGCAUCAAAAUCACUUGUGUUAUGAACCAUUUCUAGAAAAUUUACUUACUAGAUUUGCUGCCUAGAUUUAUAUUUCCUGCGUAGGCAUACAAACUUCAAAUACUUCUAUUGUCUUGACUUUUUUUAUUUUAUUAAAGUGGAUAUAUCAAGAUAUAGUUAAUUCAUGUAGUCCCAAUUACAGGCCACAAUUUAUCAACAAAAACCUUGGAUAUUAAUGAGAGAGAAUUAGGACUUGAUCAUCCAAAUAGAAUGAAGAGCUAUGGGGAUCUUGUUGUGUUCUAUUAUAGACUUCAGCAUACAGAGCUAGCCUUUAAAUAUGUAAAGCGUGCACUCUAUCUGUUACAUCUCACAUGUGGCCCAUCACAUCCGAACAUUGCCGCAACAUACAUCAAUGUGGCUAUGAUGGAGGAAGGCCUACGAAAUGUGCAUAUUUCUCUUAGAUAUCUCCACAAAGCUCUGAUGUGUAACCAAAAGUUACUUGGCCCAGACCACAUUCGGGUUUUUCUAUAUUACUGAUCUCCCUUUUACUAAUUUUAUAAGUAUUUGAUAUGCAAUUUUAGCUAUGAGUUGAUUGUACAAUGAGACGAGAUAUUGAACUAGAACUAACUUAGAACACAGGUUGCUUCUCUAUUCUGUAAACUAGGAUACACUGCAAAUGCAUAAAUUCUAGAAUGUGGUCUAAUUAGAGUUGGUAAUAUUCACUUCGUUGAUUAAUAUAUCAAUUUCUUAUGUAGUAAACGUUCUCUUCAACC